rnacentral:snoRNA from 1 species
UUCGGCAAAUGAGGAAUCUCAUUUUUAUGGGUAAUUUGCGUCUGAAUAUAUUCGUUGAUGCUAUCACCUUGGAGAUCUGAUGCAUCGUU